rnacentral:rRNA from 1 species
AUUGAACGCUGGCGGCAUGCCUAACACAUGCAAGUCGAACGAGUGGCGGACGGGUGAGUAAUAUCUGGGAAACUGCCUGAUGGAGGGGGAUAACUACUGGAAACGGUAGCUAAUACCGCAUACCAUCAGAUGUGCCCAGAUGGGAUUAGCUAGUGGGUGGGGUAAAGGCUCACCAAGGCGACGAUCCCUAGCUGGUCUGAGAGUAUGAACAGCAAGACUGGGACUGAGACACGGCCCAGACGCCUACGGGAGGCAGCAGUGGGGAAUAUUGCACAAUGGGGGCAAGCCUGAUGCAGCCAUGCCGCGUGUAUGAAGAAGGCCUUCGGGUUGUAAAGUACUUUGAGCGGGGAGGCGUUACCCGCAGAAGAAGCACCGGCUAACUCCGUGCCAGCAGCCGCGGUAAUAC